GAGGUUCUCUCUUUGUCCUGCAUGCACCCCAAGCUUUAUGCAGCUUGCCUGAGAGGACAGAUGCCUGGGACGAAGUUUGACUUUCUAAGACUGUGGCAAUUUAGCCAAGAUGCUCUACAUAGAAGGCUUGCCCAGUAACAGCACCUCCACCAAUGAGCCGACACCAGCUCUUGCCUCUGGUCUCCACAACCAAUGAGCUUGGUAUCUGAGCAGCUUAUGUAAAAGUGCUGGCUCUUGGGCUAAUUAAAACUUCCCCUUACCUCACCCUCCUUGAAUAGGCCCAUGGUUUCUACGGUAGCAUGCAUAUUCUCACUGCAUGCACAUUCUCACUGCGGUGCACCACUGUUCCAAAUCAAUGGCCAUUCUUUGAAGAUUCUCUCUGCAUGUUAUUUAGGCUAACAUCCCUAGCAGGUGGGAAACUGUAAUCACGUCCCUCUGGCAGAAGCUGUGGCAGUGGGUGUGAGCUGGCAGGGAGACUGUCUGACCAGGCAAAAGAACAGCGUGGGACUGUGCCUCAGCCUUCCAGGACCCUGCAAUAAUUCCUCUGUUCUGUAUGAUGGUAGAGAUGACCCAGCAGAGGACAGCUGAACCAUAAGAGGGGAUGUGCUUCAGGUUUGUUAAUCAAUACGAGUUACAUGAUACGAGUGAACAAAAACUUUACUUCUAGUGUGUUGUAUGUGGUGGCUUUAUUUGCGUAUUUUUAAUUUUAUUAUUUUAUAUGUGACAUGUGACGGUGCUUUGCCUACAUGUAUGUUUGUACACCACACAUGUGUCUGAGGCUCAGGGAGGCCAGAAGAGGGUGUCAUAUGCCCUGGAACCGGAGGUGCAGACAGUUGUGCGAGGUCAUGUAGGUGCUGGGCAUUGAACCCAGGUCCCUUGAAAAAGCAACCAGUGCUCCUAACUGCUGGGCCACCUCACCGCCCUGGAUUGAUUGAUUGAUUGAUUUGAUUAACAAAAAACUUGAGGCCAAACAGGGAAACUCCUGGUUCCUUCCACUACUAACACCUGAUUUAUAUGCUGCAUUUGCUAUAAUUAAUGAACUGAUAUGGAUUAUUCUAAACUAAGAAACCAAUUCGGGAAUUGAUAAUAUAUUAUCAGUUUCAUUAAUUGUAAAAAAAAUCUGCCGGGUGGUGGUGGCGCACGCCUUUAAUCCCAGCACGCGGGAGGCAGAGCCAGGCAGAUCUCUGUGAGUUCGAGGCCAGCCUGGGCUACCAAGUGAGUCCCAGGAAAGGCACAAAGCUACACAGAGAAACCCUGUCUCGAAAAACCAAAAAAAAAAAAAAAAAAUCUAUAGUUUAUUUUAAUUUCCUUAGUGUAUUAAUUACUUCUCCCUGAGGGAGGCAGGGUUUGCUUUGGCUAGUAGUUUGAGACAGCCCAUCAUGGCGAGAAAGGCAGAAUGGCUGGAGCAUGGGGCAGCUGCUCACAUUGCAUCUAUAGUCAGGAAGCAGAGUGGAGACAGAGUGGAUUUGGCUAAGACACUUCAAGGCCCACCGAAGUGACCCUCUUCUCCCAGCUAAGACUCACCUCUUCUUCCAGCUAGGCCCCACUUUAGGGUCCACCCCAAAGUAUUCAAACACAUGAGC